AGAAGAGCUUGCUCUUCGAUUCAGCGGCGGACGGGUGAGUAAUGCCUAGGAAUCUGCCUGGUAGUGGGGGACAACGUUUCGAAAGGAACGCUAAUACCGCAUACGUCCUACGGGAGAAAGCAGGGGACCUUCGGGCCUUGCGCUAUCAGAUGAGCCUAGGUCGGAUUAGCUAGUUGGUGAGGUAAUGGCUCACCAAGGCGACGAUCCGUAACUGGUCUGAGAGGAUGAUCAGUCACACUGGAACUGAGACACGGUCCAGACUCCUACGGGAGGCAGCAGUGGGGAAUAUUGGACAAUGGGCGAAAGCCUGAUCCAGCCAUGCCGCGUGUGUGAAGAAGGUCUUCGGAUUGUAAAGCACUUUAAGUUGGGAGGAAGGGCAUUAACCUAAUACGUUAGUGUUUUGACGUUACCGACAGAAUAAGCACCGGCUAACUCUGUGCCAGCAGCCGCGGUAAUACAGAGGGUGCAAGCGUUAAUCGGAAUUACUGGGCGUAAAGCGCGCGUAGGUGGUUUGUUAAGUUGG
rnacentral:rRNA from 1 species